rnacentral:rRNA from 1 species
GGUUUGAUCCUGGCUCAGAUUGAACGCUGGCGGAAUGCUUUACACAUGCAAGUCGAACGGCAGCACGGAGAGCUUGCUCUCUGGUGGCGAGUGGCGAACGGGUGAGUAAUAUAUCGGAACGUGUCCAAUAAUGGGGGAUAACGAGUCGAAAGAUUCGCUAAUACCGCAUACGCCCUACGGGGGAAAGCAGGGGAUCGUAAGACCUUGCGUUAAUGGAGCGGCCGAUAUCUGAUUAGCUAGUUGGUGAGGUAAAGGCUCACCAAGGCGACGAUCAGUAGCUGGUUUGAGAGAACGACCAGCCACACUGGAACUGAGACACGGUCCAGACUCCUACGGGAGGCAGCAGUGGGGAAUUUUGGACAAUGGGGGCAACCCUGAUCCAGCCAUUCCGCGUGAGUGAAGAAGGCCUUCGGGUUGUAAAGCUCUUUCGCAAGGGAAGAAAACUUAUGAUCGAAUAAAUCAUGAGGUUGACGGUACCUUGAUAAGAAGCACCGGCUAACUACGUGCCAGCAGCCGCGGUAAUACGUAGGGUGCGAGCGUUAAUCGGAAUUACUGGGCGUAAAGCGUGCGCAGGCGGUUUUGUAAGUCGGAUGUGAAAUCCCCGGGCUCAACCUGGGAACUGCGUUCGAAACUGCAAGGCUAGAGUGUGUCAGAGGGGGGUAGAAUUCCACGUGUAGCAGUGAAAUGCGUAGAGAUGUGGAGGAAUACCAAUGGCGAAGGCAGCCCCCUGGGAUAACACUGACGCUCAUGCACGAAAGCGUGGGGAGCAAACAGGAUUAGAUACCCUGGUAGUCCACGCCCUAAACGAUGUCAACUAGUUGUUGGUAGAGUAAAAUCUAUGAGUAACGUAGCUAACGCGUGAAGUUGACCGCCUGGGGAGUACGGUCGCAAGAUUAAAACUCAAAGGAAUUGACGGGGGCCCGCACAAGCGGUGGAUUAUGUGGAUUAAUUCGAUGCAACGCGAAAAACCUUACCUGGCCUUGACAUGUACCGAAUUGAGCAGAGAUGUUCAAGUGCUCGAAAGAG